UAAAUCAUUUUUUAAAGAUGUAUUUGAAAGGAAGGUAUGCAGAAUAAUGCUUUUGUUGCCAAUGAUCUUUAAACUGGAAAAAAACCUAUAAAAUACUAUUAGAAUUGAUCUUUGAAAAUGUCCAUGUUAGCUGCACAAGGAGAAGUUAUAAUAAACUUUGGCACGCCUUACUAAUAUGAUUUUGCUCACAAUGUUAAGGUUAAGCAGUUCAAAAUUAUGGCUGCACAGACAACACUCCAAUUAGGUUGGAUUAGCACCAAGAAAACUUAAUGCAUACUAUUUAUAUUUUAUCAUGUGGAAGAACAUGUUAGAUAUAAAAGUCUGAUUUGGCUAAUAUUUUGAUGUAGGUUUCUAUAAUCAGAAGGACUUAAUGGCUAUCUAAUCUAGUCCUCUUUUCUAAAAUAGAAUAAGUGCAGUGUACCACAAGUGGAGAACAGAUACACUAUUAGAAGAUUCAAGGCAUUCAAGAAUGUCUUCAAUUGUAGAAAAAUAUACGGUAAGUUUUUAUACAUCUAAAUAAAAAGGUGUUUUGCUUUGUUCUAAAUAAUCACAUUCUCCCCCAGCUUAGUUGAAAAUGGAAUGUUGCCAAAUAUUUGGUAAUUUAAGUUGUGUAGAAAUGCUUAUAGAUGAAGAUCAGCAUUGUACAUUUUCUGUCUUCCUACAAUGUACUCUUUUUUGUUGUUGUUCUAUUUUAUAAAUUUCCUGAAAUUUGACCUUUCUGGCCUACAUUAAUGUUCUGUUAAAACUGUUUGUAGACAAUUAAUAGUACAUCUAUAGUAAAUAGUUUUACAAAUAAUGUGACUUAUUUAUGUUAUACUGAUAAAGAAGCUGGAUUGAAAGUGGAAAUAAGUUUAAGGCUUCUUUUUUUGAAACUCUUGAAUUACAAGCUGAAAUUAGAAAAGUUGAUGUAGAUGUUUUAUACAAAACAGUCCUGUGCAUGUUUGCCUAAGUAAGACGCAUGGUCUUCAGUGGGACUUAUUGUCUAGUAUGUGUGUUUAGGAUAGCAUCCUUAAAACAUCCUUUGAUCUGCACUUACAAGUAAAACUGUAGAUAAUUAAAUAUGUGUAUGAAAAAUUAUAUUUAUUUUUCUUACUUAAAUUAAACUACUGUAAUUUUUUAAUGCAUAGGAUAUGAGCUGCUCACAAACCCUUUUCUUUCUAGUUCAAAUGGAAAGUAUUUUUUAUUUUCUAAAAGAAAACAAAUCGUGCACAACAAACUUCAUAAUUAACUUCUGGACAUUUUCAGUUGCUUUCAGUGAACUGAAAGUUAGCAUGUAAAUAGAAGUUUGUUACGAUCUAGACUGUUGUGGCUCUUAAAUUACCUACAAUUCCUAUUUCAUUGUGGCUGCUGCAAAAGUCACCUACCUUUAUGGAAUGUCUUGUAGAGGAGGGCAGAUAUGUAGUGAUCUUUCUUAGGUAUUUUUAGAAUCCUUGUUUAAUUACGGUAACUUGCUGCUCCAUUUUAUUUCUCAGUUAUAAAAUUGUGUAUCUUUCUGCUUCUUAGGUUUGUUUUUGCACCCUUGUGAAUUUACCAGCACACUUAAUUACUUUAGUAGGUACUGUGUAGAACUUCUAGUCAGAAAAUUUAUAUUUGAUAGAAUGAAUUAUGAUUGUAAUUAUGAUUGUAUUAGAAACUAUUUUUAAUGGCAAAUAAUUGAAUUACACAUUAUACAUUUAAAGGUCCUAUUUUUUUUCUUUUCUAGAUUGGGGUGUAUCCAAUUUUUUGAUUUUUGAUUUAAUGGAAAGCACUUCCACUUGUUCAAGGCAAGGGCAACUUUUUCUGAUCACCCCAUUCACUACUGUUCAGUGACCCCCCCCCCCAAAAAAAUAGGUCCUGAUGGUUGGGGGAAUCGUUGAAAUCAGUAUGGGAUAUGGUGCAGAGGACUGCAGUCAGUACAGAAGGUUUGAGAAAAUGAGAUGUCCUGACUUGCACAAGUGAAGGCGCUUUCUGCUACUGCAAAGCUAUAACUGGACAUAAUCUGUUGGGCACAGUUACAUAUCAUAGGAAGUUACAGUUAUACUGUACCAUGAAAGAACAGAUUGUUCCUUCUUUGCUCCUCCUUGCUAAUAAUAAGCUGGAGCAAACCACAGCACAUGACUUAGUGUUAUGUCUGAACAAGGAACCAUGGUAAUUUUGCUCCAGCCAAACCAUACUCUUUGUUCUUGGCUUCCUGGCAUAACACUAAGUCAAGGAUUGUAGUUUGUUGCUCCCACUCACUAGUGAGAAAGGAGCAAAGGGGAGACAAUCUGCCUUUCAACAUUAACCACUGCUUAUGCUAUGAUGCAUGAAUGCAGCCACUGUAUUUUAGCAUCCUAAAGCAGGUGCAUAUGCAUCUUAAAGUGUUUGGCUAGCGUAAGCAAGUGUUAAAAGAAAAAAGAUUACAGGACUGUUGAACAGUAUUCUGAUUAAACAAGUAAUUUUUCGUAACUAGAGUGGAAUUAAACGUUCCAUCACCAGAAGAAUUUCUCCUUAUGUAACAGAACAGUCUCCCCUUUUUUCUCCUCCUGUGCCUCCUAAGUCUCUUCUAGGAUUUCUCUCAGUCCUCUGGAGCAGAUUUAGAGAUGGCGUGGGUUGUGGGGAGUCCUGUUACACAAGUGGAAGUUAUUUAGUUGAAUACGUGUUAGAAACUGAGAUGUGAAAGCUAGGAGCUAAAUGGCACCUUAAACCUAGCUUAUGGGCGCCACAAAAGAAUGUCUAACCACACUUUUUUAAUAACAAAAAUAAAUACAAAGCUGAAAAUGAAUUAACAGCAGCUAAAAUCUUAUGGUCGUUUUUCACAUGGUCUAGUCCUCAUCUGAUGACUGCAGAUGUCCCCUGCCCAUCCCCCUAAUAUACUUAAGAGGGUUCCUUCUCCAGUCUUCAGAGAGUGGCUGGAAGUGGGGAGGCAGAAAAAGGUCCUCAUUUCCUUCCACUCUGCAGGCAAGCUCUGGAUUCUCCCUACAACCCCUUUCCUUCAUAUAAAUAUAUCUUUUGGUGCAACAAUUAACACAUAUUAGAGGCCAAUACAACUGAUGGCAGAGACACCCACCUUGAGUGUCCAGUUCACAAAUCUAAGACUUCAGUGUCUUUCAAUAAUCCCACUGCAAAAUUUGUUUCGAUUUUAUUCAUCCCUGAGAGAGUCUGAGGUAGAUCACACUUUAGCAUGCACUACUUAAACCAAACCUAUUUAAGCCAAUCUGAGGCCACAGAGUGCAAAACACUGCCUUUCUGUAAGGGCAGCUGAGAGGUGGAACCUAUCAACUUGCCUGACACUGCAGCAAUCUCUAGGAAGUCCAGCGGGGAGGAAUUUCUCCUCCCGUGCCCUCAGCGUCUGCAAUGGCAGUUUUAAUCUGAUAUCUUAGGCACAGUACUGCACCCAGAGCUCAGAAACUGCUUGCUCUAAUGAAAUUCCCUGUCGCAAAAUGUGCCUAGAACAAUGGAAGUUUCAAACGCUGAAUACAUCCCACAAUUUUGAAAUACCAAUGUGACAAAAGCAAAUUUGUUGAGCUAUUUCUUGGCAGAAUGUUUUCCUUCUACCAUUCUUUUUCCAAAUCAUAACGUUCUCUGAACAACCUAAAAUAUAUUACCAAAUCCAAAUUCUUAGGUUUCAGGCAGUAUUUGUAGUCUGAAAUAAGUAGCUUAUCUGUUUCUUCCUUUUUUGGGUGGUGCUGUUGAAUUAAUUGAUGUGACUUCUACUACCUUUUGAUUUGUCUGUAAUUUUCAGGAAAUUGAAAAUAAUAGAUUGGUGCUAUAUAAGUUUAUUAUUCAACUAAGAUAAAUCUUAAAGUCACACUGACUUUGAGUGUAAAGAGUUCUGUACACCAGUUGGCUUCCUUUCACUGAAAUAAAUGAGCCAGUUGUUCAAGA